GUGAGCCACCGUGCCUGGCCCAAUUUUUGUAUUUUUGGGAGAGACGGGGUUUCACCAUGUUGGUCAGGCUGGUCUCGAACUCCCAACCUCAGGUGAUCCUCCCGCCUCAGCCUCCCAAAGUGCUGGGAUGACAGGUGUGAGCCACCGUGCCUGGCCCAAUUUUUGUAUUUUUGGGAGAGACGGGGUUUCACCAUGUUGGUCAGGCUGGUCUCGAACUCCCAACCUCAGGUGAUCCUCCCGCGUCGGCCUCCCAAAGUGCUGGGAUGACAGGUGUGAGCCACCGUGCCUGGCCCAAUUUUUGUAUUUUUGGGAGAGAUGGGGUUUCACCAUGUUGGUCAAGCUGGUGUCGAACUCCCAACCUCAGGUGAUCCUCCCGCCUCAGCCUCCCAAAGUGCUGGGAUGACAGGCGUGAGCCACCGCAUCCAGCCCAUGGUGGCGAAGUUUUAACAGCUCAGCAGAAAUUUCCUUGUGGGCAAAACAUAGGGCAGGCAGGUUGCUUUCAUCUCAGAGCCAUCUUACUUAAGAACCAAAAAGAGGGAGGCAGGUUUGCUGGACCCAGUUCUCAGCUUGACUGUUCCCUUUGGCUAAAUGCAUUUGGACACCCGAAGAGAUUUAAUUUCCUUUCACAUGUCUGUCAACGAUUCACCGCAGACGCAAACCUGUGUGUCUCUCUAGGUUCUGACGACGGGAACCUCGGCUCUGUGUACAUUUACGUGCUCCUGAUCGUGGGAACCCUUGUCUGUGGCAUCAUCCUCGGCUUCCUCUUUAAAAGGUUCCUUAGGAUACAGCGGCUGUUCCCGCCAGUUCCACAGAUCAAAGACAAACUGAAUGAUAACCAUGAGGUGGAAGACGAGCUGGGACCGCAGUGUCACCACCGGUGUGGCUGGAAUCUGUAUCCCACUCCUGGGCCUUCUCCCGGGUCGGGGUCUUCUCCAGGGUUGGGGUCAGAGUCAUCUCUGUGAGCUCCAUCAGGAGAAACUGAGGCAGGGUGGUGGUCAAAAAAAGGAGGAGAAGACGGUAGAGAGGGCCAGGCACGGUGGCUCAUGCCUGUCAUCCCAGCACUUUGGGAGGUUGAGGCAUGUGGAUCAUCUGAGGUCAGAGGUUCGAGACCAGCCUGGCCAACGUGGUGAAACCCCAUCUCUGCUAAAAAUGCAAAAAAUUAGCUGGGCGUGGUGGUGUACGCCUGAAAUCCCAGUGACUCGGGAGGCUGGGGCAGGAGAACGGCUUGAACCCAGGGGGCGGAGGUUGCCGUGAGCCGAGAUCGCACCACCGCACUCCAGCCUGGCUGACAGAGUGAGACUCCAUCUCAAAAGAAAAAAGAAGGUAGAGAGGAGAGGCGGAAAUAGAGACAAGAGACAGAGGCAGAGAAAGAUGGAGGGAGAGAGAUGGAGGAGAGAGAGAGGAAUGUAGAAGAGAAUGAGAAGAAGACACAAAGGAGAGGGAAACAAACAGGCAGACAGACUGACAGAAACAAAGGCAGACACACAGACAGAGAAACAGAGAGAGGGAGGGAGGGAGAAAAGAGAGAAGGAAAGAGAGAGAGAGACACACAGAGAGCAAGACUGACCUACAAAGAGAAAAAGACAAUCAGAGAGACACAGAUGGAGAAACAGAGACAGAUAAACAACAAACAUAAAGACCCAGGCGGGGGCCGGUCGCGGUGACUCACAUCUGUGAGGGAUGCUACGUGCAGGGUGUCUGCGCUCAACUAUGCAGAACUUCACUAAGAAUCACCAAGUGACGAAAAUCUUAAGGAACUAGGCCGGGUGCAGUGGCUCACACCUGUAAUCCCAGCACUUUGGGAGGCCAAGGCGGGUGGAUCACUUGAGGUCGGGAGUUCGAGACCAGCCUGACCAACCUGAAGAAACCUCGUCUCUACUAAAAUUACAAAAAUUAGCCAGGUGUGAUGGCGCACACCUGUAAUCCCACCUAUUCUGGAGGCUGAGGCAGGAGAAUCACUUGAACCCAGGAGGCGGAGGCUGCAGUGAGCCGAGAUCGUACCAUUGCAUUCUAACCUGGGCAACAAGAGCAAAACUCUCUAUCAAAAACAAAACAAAACAAAAAAAUCAUCCCCAGCAGGGAGAGGAGAGAGACAGAGAGGAACAGAGGCAAAGAGAGGGGAGAGAGACAAAGACAGAGAGACACAGAGAAAGACACAGACAGAAAAAGAGAGAGAGAGAGGGAGAAGGAGACAUAGAGACAGGGACAAAGAGAAAAAGACAGAGAAACAGAGAGACAUAGGUGGACACGGACAGGGGAGAGAGAGAGACAGAGACCAAGGGAUGAGAGUGGAAGAGAGACAGAUAGAGGAAAAAGACAGAGAGGGAGGCAGAGAAAAGAGACACAGAGAGACCGAGAGAGACAGGGAAGACAGAGGAGUCGGACUUAGUCUCAGCGAGAGCCCAGAGAGGGUGAACAAGGGCGAGAAACCAUGUGACCUCCACCCUGAGACCCCAGUGGCGCUCCUCUCCCACCCACCUCUCUCCAGCUCAGGGACUGUGUCUUAUGUUGCAGUACGCUGGCAGGCUGGAAAGUCAGGCCAGGGCUGAUGCUCAUCCCAGAGGCAGAACCGUCCUGCAUUCUCAGAGUGGGAGAUGAAAUUUUUAAAAAGGAAAUAAAACUCUUGUACGGGGAACCUCAGCUUUUAUCCUUUAGACCUUUGACUGAUUAGAUGAGGCCCACUCUUCUCCUUUACACCUUCAGCUGAUUAAAUGAGGCCCGCUCUUCCCCCUUUAGACCUUCGAUGGAUUAGAUGAGGCCCACCCUUCCCCCUUUAGACCUUCGACUGAUUAGAUGCGGCCCACCCUUCCCCUAUAUACCUUCCACGGAUUAGCUGAGGCCCACCCUUCCCUAUAUACCUUCAACUGAUUAGAUGAGGCCCACCCUUCCCCCUUUAGACCUUCGACCGAUAAGUUGAGGCCCGCCCUUCCCCUAUAUACCUUCCACUGAUUAGAUGAGGCCCACCCUUCCCCCUUUAGACCUUCGAAUGAUUAGUUGAGUCCCGCCCGUCCCCUAUAUACCUUCCACUGAUUAGAUGAGGCCCGCCCUUCCCUAUAUACCUUCCACUGAUUAGAUGAGGCCCACCCUUCC
rnacentral:lncRNA from 1 species